CACUCCUGGUGGUGCCCUUCCGUCAAUUCCUUUAAGUUUCAGCUUUGCAACCAUACUCCCCCCGGAACCCAAAGACUUUGGUUUCCCUUUCGUUCUUGAUUAAUGAAAACAUUCUUGGCAAAUGCUUUCGCUCUGGUCCGUCUUGCGCCGGUCCAAGAAUUUCACCUCUAGCGGCGCAAUACGAAUGCCCCCGGCCGUCCCUCUUAAUCAUGGCCUCAGUUCCGAAAACCAACAAAAUAGAACCGCGGUCCUAUUCCAUUAUUCCUAGCUGCGGUAUCCAGGCGGCUCGGGCCUGCUUUGAACACUCUAAUUUUUUCAAAGUAAACGCUUCGGGCCCCGCGGGACAGAUGGGACACGGGCGCGGACAGCCCGAUCGGCUCCCCCUCGCUCGUCCGCUCGCUCGCUCGCCCACGCGCGGGGAACAGGGCACCCGCCAGGUGGGAAGGGGACACGGUACGAGAGCCACGCGCGAGGACCGACCCCCGGUCCAGCCUCCACCCGCCUGGCUCCCCCACCCCACCCCACCCCGCCCCCACCCGCUCAAGCGGGGGGGAGGCGCCGGGGUGGGAGGCAGAAGGGAACACAGACGGGCGGCGGCACGGGGAAGCACGAGCCGGCGGGCACGGGGACGGGCGGGCGGGGCGGGGCGCGGCAGGGAAAGGCGCACAACGACGACCAGGCCGAGAGACCCCACCGGCCGGGGGAACGCACGCGCCGCGGCGCGGAGGACAGGCGCAGGAGGAGGAGGAGGGCGGCAGGCGAGGGAGCAACGAGAAGAAAAACCCGGCGGUCGCCCCCGACCGCCGGGGCCCCCCUGCCUCCCCCUCUCUCCCUCCACGCAACCUCACGCGCGUGUGCGGCCAAGACGCCCCACGACCGACGGGUGGCUGGAAGCCGGGCGCCCAACCCCCGGAGCGACACCAAACCCCGCGGGCUCGGGGGCACGAGGCACCGCGCGGCCACAGCCCGGGGGAAGCGCGCGGCGGCGGAAGGACACCGCGGCGUCCCGCGGGCCACCACCGGGGCACGCAUCCCCGGGGCGCGGCCACGCGCGCGACACGGCCUCGGGGCGAGCCGCCCCCCCGACAGGGCGAGGCGUUGUUUGGGGGGGCGCGGGGCGCGGAAGGAACCCCAGGCGGCGCGGCGGACCGCGGCAGGGAGCCGGCCGGACACCGCCGCCACCGCCGCCGCCGCGUUGGGGGCGCGCGGCAAACGGGAGGCGGCGGCGGCCCGGACUCGACCCCCCGACCGAUAUCGCGCGGGCUCCCAGCCGCGCGGCGCGGGGACUCGGCCCGACGCCCCCACCCCACCCCCGGCGAAACACACCAUGCCCAAAAGACCGCUUGCGGCGCGAGGAGGCUCCCAAAGGGACGGCGGCGGCCAAGGCCAACGGCCUCGGCGCGAGCCCUCUGGUCCGUCUCUUCCCUCUCACGGGCGGCGCGCGCCCCCCAAGGCCUCGCAGCCGCCGCCGCCCGCCCCCAGCCAACCCACCCCACCGUCCCACACGCGCUCCGUCAAGCGAGCGGGCGGCGGGGGCAGGGCGUGGGGGGGUGGGGUGCGGGGCAGAUACGGCAGGAGGCAGAGGGGGCGCGCCAGUGUCUGCACUUAGGGGACGAAGGGCACACGGCGGCCCUGCGAGGACACCCCAGCCGCGCCACCCCGGAGAGGGAAACACCCGGGGGUGGCGAUUGAUCGUCAAGCGACGCUCAGACAGGCGUAGCCCCGGGAGGAACCCGGGGCCGCAAGUGCGUUCGAAGUGUCGAUGAUCAAUGUGUCCUGCAAUUCACAUUAAUUCUCGCAGCUAGCUGCGUUCUUCAUCGACGCACGAGCCGAGUGAUCCACCGCUAAGAGUCGUACGUGCUUGGUUUGGAAUGGCGGCACGGCACACUGCCCCCCCUCCUCCUCCCCACGACCCACCCGCCCACGUGGGGCAGCUGGGUGGAGAGCGUGGGGGGGGGGGGUCGCCUCUCGCCGGCCGAGUCAGAGGGAAACAAAGCAGACCGGUGGGUCGGAAGGCUUCACACGACGGGGCGUCCGGCGCCCACACACACACACACACGGGUGAGUGGGUGGGGCACGGACAACCCCACAGGCGCCCGGGGGUUCCCACCCCCCCAACACAGGCACGGGGCACACACGCGCUCGCUCGCACACGGCCACGGACCGACUGGCCGGCGAUGGCCACCGAAUAAGCCCCCCUCCCGACGGCCACGGUGAGAGGGGCUGGACCGCGACGAGGCACGGGGGCCCCGCCCCAUGGGGGGAAGCGGAGCCUGGGGGAGAAGGGACUCCUCCUCCCCACCGGCCCGACCGCCCCGACCCCAAGGCGGACGGGCGACCCCCCCUAGGGGUCUUUAAACCUCCGCGCCGGGACGCGCUAGGUACCUGGAGAGAGGGAGGCGGGCGAGGCGGGGCAGGGAGGGGGGAAAGCGCCGCACCCAGGCGCCCCCAACGACCGCCGGCCCUGACGACGGGUAACGAACUCCGUCCGUCGCGCGGCCCGCCCUCGGAACGCGGGUCUUACGUGGCACUGACGGCCCGUGACGCGGGAGCCACUCGGCCGCCGGCCGACCACCGCCCCCACCGCAAGCAGCGCCGCCGCCGCCGCCGCCGCCGAGGACAGGGAGAGAGGGCCCGGGCCAAGCGGCGGCAGGAUCGGAGCAGUGGAGCGGAGGCAUGGAGGACCAACGGCCGGGAGGAAACCCGGCCCAGAGCCGGCGGCGGGAGGGCAAAGCCCAUCCCGAGACGCGCCAAAAACACCACGGG
ensembl:lncRNA